rnacentral:rRNA from 1 species
GUGGGGAAUAUUGGACAAUGGGCGAAAGCCUGAUCCAGCCAUGCCGCGUGUGUGAAGAAGGUCUUCGGAUUGUAAAGCACUUUAAGUUGGGAGGAAGGGCAGUAAGUUAAUACCUUGCUGUUUUGACGUUACCAACAGAAUAAGCACCGGCUAACUUCGUGCCAGCAGCCGCGGUAAUACGAAGGGUGCAAGCGUUAAUCGGAAUUACUGGGCGUAAAGCGCGCGUAGGUGGUUCAGCAAGUUGAAGGUGAAAUCCCCGGGCUCAACCUGGGAACUGCCUCCAAAACUACUGAGCUGGAGUACGGUAGAGGGUAGUGGAAUUUCCUGUGUAGCGGUGAAAUGCGUAGAUAUAGGAAGGAACACCAGUGGCGAAGGCGACUACCUGGACUGAUACUGACACUGAGGUGCGAAAGCGUGGGGAGCAAACAGGAUUAGAUACCCUUGUAGUCC